rnacentral:rRNA from 1 species
GAUGAACGCUGGCGGCGUGCCUAAUACAUGCAAGUCGAGCGAAGCGGGGACGGGUGAGUAACACGUGGAUAACCUCCUAUAAGACUGGGAUAACUUCCGGAAACCGGUGCUAAACCGGAUAAUUAUAGAUUGAUCCACCCUGCCUUAGGUAGUUGGUAAGGUCACGGCUUACCAAGACAACGAGGCAUAGCCGACCUGAGAGGGUUGUCGGCCACACUGGAACUGAGACACGGGCCAGACUUCUACGGUAGGCAGCAGUAGGGAAUCUUCCGCAAUGGGCGAAAGCCUGACAGAGCAACGCCGCGUGUGUGAUGAAGGUCUUCGGAUCGUAAAACUCUGUUAUUAGGGAAGCGGUACCUAAUCAGAAAGCCACGGCUAACUACGUGCCAGCAGCCGCGGUAAUUC